AUUGAACGCUGGCGGCAUGCUUUACACAUGCAAGUCGAACGGUAACAGGCCGCAAGGUGCUGACGAGUGGCGAACGGGUGAGUAAUGCAUCGGAACGUGCCCGGUCGUGGGGGGUAACGCAGCGAAAGCUGCGCUAAUACCGCAUACGAUCUCUGGAUGAAAGCGGGGGACCGAAAGGCCUCGCGCGAUUGGAGCGGCCGAUGUCAGAUUAGGUAGUUGGUGGGGUAAAGGCCCACCAAGCCAACGAUCUGUAGCUGGUCUGAGAGGACGACCAGCCACACUGGGACUGAGACACGGCCCAGACUCAUACGGGAGGCAGCAGUGGGGAAUUUUGGACAAUGGGCGCAAGCCUGAUCCAGCAAUGCCGCGUGCAGGAAGAAGGCCUUCGGGUUGUAAACUGCUUUUGUCCGGAACGAAACGGUCCGGGUUAAUACCCUGGGCUAAUGACGGUACCGUAAGAAUAAGCACCGGCUAACUACGUGCCAGCCGCCGCAGUAAGAC
rnacentral:rRNA from 1 species